GCGGCCAUACAUGCCUCAGGCAAAUCUGCCAAUGUUGGCUCAGCACCCAUUAUUGGCUCAACCUAAUGUUUCAGCUCCUCUUCCAUUUCCUGUCAACCAAGCCACACCUCUGGGACCACCAACAACUGGAAGGCCUUCAAUGCCUUUGUUGCCUCAAUCUGUACCAAACCUUCUUUCAGGACCACUACCGGACCGGCCCAUAACCCCUGCUGGGAGCUCUACUGGAUGGCCCAGAGUGCCAUUAGGCACUCCAGCAUCCCUAGGCCCAAACCAAAUGGUGCAGAUGACCACAUCAAUGGUUCCUGGAGUUCCACGGCCUGUUGUAGCAUCUGUAGCACCACCAUCAAAUAUCUCAGCAGCCAAUAUGGUAUCACCUGUAACCUUUUCAUCCCGGCCAUCUGCUCCCCAAUUACCCAGCACACAGCAGAACCGUCCCCUUACACCCCCAACCUUUGCUUCUGUUCCACCACCUCAGAUGGGGCCCUCCCCUACAACUCCAGUUUCUCUCCCUCCAGCACCUGUACCUCCACAAAUGCAACCAUUAACUACACCGGCACCAAUUCCUAACCCAUCCCCAAGGCCUGUAUUGGGGUCCACUCCAGUUCCUUCAUCAAUGCAAUCAUCUACAC
rnacentral:lncRNA from 1 species